rnacentral:rRNA from 1 species
GAUGAGCGCUGGCGGCGUGCCUAAUACAUGCAAGUCGAGCGAACAGACGAGGAGCUUGCUCCUCUGACGUUAGCGGCGGACGGGUGAGUAACACGUGGAUAACCUACCUAUAAGACUGGGAUAACUUCGGGAAACCGGAGCUAAUACCGGAUAAUAUAUUUAACCGCAUGGUUCAAUAGUGAAAGACGGUUUUGCUGUCACUUAUAGAUGGAUCCGCGCCGCAUUAGCUAGUUGGUAAGGUAACGGCUUACCAAGGCAACGAUGCGUAGCCGACCUGAGAGGGUGAUCGGCCACACUGGAUCUGAGACACGGUCCAGACUCCUACGGGAGGAAGCAGUAGGGAAUCUUCCGCAAUGGGCGAAAGCCUGACGGAGCAACGCCGCGUGAGUGAUGAAGGUCUUCGGAUCGUAAAACUCUGUUAUUAGGGAAGAACAAAUGUGUAAGUAACUAUGCACGUCUUGACGGUACCUAAUCAGAAAGCCACGGCUAACUACGUG